AUGCAUUUGUGGAAGAUCCAACUUGGCAACCUAUGCAUUCUGAAGAUUGCAGUGGAUGGACUGAUAAAUGAUGUUGAUAUUCUCAGAGGGUUGCCCGCCCUCACUGCUCUGUCGUUGUAUGUGGAGAAGUCACCUAAUAUGAAGAUAAUCUUUGGCACAGCUGCUGGAUUCACAGCUCUGAAGUACUUGAAGCUGAGGUUCAUGAGUGGAAUAGCUUGGCUAAAAUUUGAGGCGGAUGCAGUGCCUAAUCUCUGGAAGCUCAGGCUCGUUUUCAAUUCCAUCCCCCGAAUGGACCAACGACUUGAACUUUUUUCGGAGUCUGAGCAGUGCAAACAAUAUCGACAUGGUACUGCAUCAAUCAGCAUCGAGCAUAUGCCACGCCUUGGAGAGGUCUCCGCAAAAUUUGGGGGUGCAGCUGCUGAUCUGAAGUAUGUGUCGAGGAUAGGGAUAGUUAGCAAUCAUCCGAGCAAUGCUAUAAUCGACGUGCAACUAGUGGAUUCUGGUUCCCAUGGCGAUAAAAGGUAG
rnacentral:rRNA from 1 species